UACGGAAGCAGCAGUGGGGAAUAUUGCACAAUGGGCGAAAGCCUGAUGCAGCUAUGCCGCGUGUAUGAAGAAGGCCUUAGGGUUGUAAAGUACUUUCAUCGGGGAGGAAAAAACAAAACUAAUAAUUUUAUUUCUUGACGUUACCCGAAAAAGAAGCACCGGCUAACUCCGUGCCAGCAGCCGCGGUAAUACGGAGGGUGCUAGCGUUAAUCAGAAUUACUGGGCGUAAAGAGCACGUAGGUGGUUUUUUUAAGUCAGAUGUGAAAUCCCUGGGCUUAACCUAGGAACUGCAUUUUGAAACUGAAAUACUAGAGUAUCGUAGAGGGAGGUAGAAUUCUAGGUGUAGCGGUGAAAUGCGUAGAUAUCUGGAGGAAUACCUGUGGCGAAAGCGGCCUCCUAAACGAAUACUGACACUGAGGUGCGAAAAGCGUGGGGAGCAAACAGGGAUUAGAUACC
rnacentral:rRNA from 1 species